GGAAAUUAUGGAAUUUAAGCUUAACUACAAAACAUAAAAUUACAACAUGGAAAAUUUCUUGGAAUUUUUUGCCUACUCUAGUUAAUCUUUACCACAGAAGAAUCAAAGUUUAGUUAGCUUGCCCUAGAUGUGGUAGGGGUCCAAAGACGAUCGACCAUGUGUUUCGGGACUGCCCUGUAUCAAAGGAAAUAUGGAAUAGGCUUAAUAUUUCAUAGAUUCUAUCUCAAUCCCAGUUUAUAUUAAGGAAUGACUUACCUGGGUUUUUCAGAAUGGUUCGAAUGGCAUGUGUAGGAAGACAUGAUGUGUG
rnacentral:lncRNA from 1 species